rnacentral:rRNA from 1 species
CUUAAUUCCAUGCCAGGUCGAAACGCGUUGGCCCAAUUGAUUGAUGGUGCUUGCACCUGAUUGAUUUUGGUCGCCAACGAGUGGCGGACGGGUGAGUAACACGUAGGUAACCUGCCCAGAAGCGGGGGACAACAUUUGGAAACAGAUGCUAAUACCGCAUAACAGCGUUGUUCGCAUGAACAACGCUUAAAAGAUGGCUUCUCGCUAUCACUUCUGGAUGGACCUGCGGUGCAUUAGCUUGUUGGUGGGGUAACGGCCUACCAAGGCGAUGAUGCAUAGCCGAGUUGAGAGACUGAUCGGCCACAAUGGGACUGAGACACGGCCCAUACUCCUACGGGAGGCAGCAGUAGGGAAUCUUCCACAAUGGGCGCAAGCCUGAUGGAGCAACACCGCGUGAGUGAAGAAGGGUUUCGGCUCGUAAAGCUCUGUUGUUAAAGAAGAACACGUAUGAGAGUAACUGUUCAUACGUUGACGGUAUUUAACCAGAAAGUCACGGCUAACUACGUGCCAGCAGCCGCGGUAAUACGUAGGUGGCAAGCGUUAUCCGGAUUUAUUGGGCGUAAAGAGAGUGCAGGCGGUUUUCUAAGUCUGAUGUGAAAGCCUUCGGCUUAACCGGAGAAGUGCAUCGGAAACUGGAUAACUUGAGUGCAGAAGAGGGUAGUGGAACUCCAUGUGUAGCGGUGGAAUGCGUAGAUAUAUGGAAGAACACCAGUGGCGAAGGCGGCUACCUGGUCUGCAACUGACGCUGAGACUCGAAAGCAUGGGUAGCGAACAGGAUUAGAUACCCUGGUAGUCCAUGCCGUAAACGAUGAGUGCUAGGUGUUGGAGGGUUUCCGCCCUUCAGUGCCGGAGCUAACGCAUUAAGCACUCCGCCUGGGGAGUACGACCGCAAGGUUGAAACUCAAAGGAAUUGACGGGGGCCCGCACAAGCGGUGGAGCAUGUGGUUUAAUUCGAAGCUACGCGAAGAACCUUACCAGGUCUUGACAUCUUGCGCCAACCCUAGAGAUAGGGCGUUUCCUUCGGGAACGCAAUGACAGGUGGUGCAUGGUCGUCGUCAGCUCGUGUCGUGAGAUGUUGGGUUAAGUCCCGCAACGAGCGCAACCCUUGUUACUAGUUGCCAGCAUUAAGUUGGGCACUCUAGUGAGACUGCCGGUGACAAACCGGAGGAAGGUGGGGACGACGUCAGAUCAUCAUGCCCCUUAUGACCUGGGCUACACACGUGCUACAAUGGACGGUACAACGAGUCGCGAACUCGCGAGGGCAAGCAAAUCUCUUAAAACCGUUCUCAGUUCGGACUGCAGGCUGCAACUCGCCUGCACGAAGUCGGAAUCGCUAGUAAUCGCGGAUCAGCAUGCCGCGGUGAAUACGUUCCCGGGCCUUGUACACACCGCCCGUCACACCAUGAGAGUUUGUAACACCCAAAGUCGGUGGGGUAACCUUUUAGGAGCCAGCCGCAUAAGGGACCAAG